CUCUCGGUAGCCAAGUUGGUUUAAGGCGCAAGACUGUAAAGGGGAUCUGGUAUGGAUCGUCGAGUAAUCUUGAGAUCGGGUGUUCGACUCACCCCCGGGAGA